UCAGCGGUGAUAAAGCCUACCUGGGCUAUGAACUGGAAUGAGAACUAAGUAGGAAGUUGAAAGCAGCAAGGAAAGCCUAGAAGAGAACUUGAGAAGAGAGGUAGGAUGUGCCCAGGGAAACCUGCAGCAAAGAGAAAAGAGCAGACCUAGCUGUUGAGUACAGAGCCCUGGGCUGCUACCAGUGUCAAGAUGGGACAGGGUUCCUCUACUGGCCCCAAAGAAGGGGGCAUACAUGCCCCCAGAGAGGGUUACCAAGCCCAGCAAGGGAGCUGCAGGCUGAGCCAGAGCCCCAGCCAGAGCAGAAGAACUUUUUUCUCUGGGGAGAGUUCUUUGGACUUUGAGUGUGUGAGAAGCUGAGCCCCAGAAGCAUGGACUAAAGGUGGUAAGCCGGCCAGAGGGCCAAAUUAUGGAAGUCUUGGUUACUGAAUGAAGGUCUGUCCCCCCAAGUGGGAUUUCCCAUUUGAGUUCCAGGGACUGGUUAAGCAACCAAAGCAGGGCUUGGGUUUCUCCAGCAGCUCCUAGAAACCCAACAGAAGCAGAAGGAAGUGCAGGCAGAGCUACAGAUGCUGCUGGUAAUCCUGAGGGAGCAGCAGCAAUACCUGUGAGAGAUCCUGCAAAGGGAAAUCAACCUGCUACGCCCAUGGACAAAAAGAGCAGACUUGGAGAGCAUGCUGGGGCUGUGCUGAGAAGGUUAGCCCAGGAGAGCAGGGCAUGAGAAAGUGUACAAGCAUAGCCUAAUGCCAAGAUGGGAACAAAAGUUCUUUGGUUUGAGUGCAGAGAAGCAGGCCAUAUCGAAAGACCCGGCCUGCAUAGGAAAUUCCUGAAUGGCAAAUGGAGGGGCCAGGGUCCCAAGAAGUUAGAAAGAAAGGAGAAGGCGUCCUCUUGGACAAACACAUAUGAGGCAGGCUAGGUGGAGAUGGCAGGGAUGGCCGUGGACCUUGCAGACCCUCCUCCAACACACCUGUCAGGUGCUGCAGGGAGGUGAAGGAUUAAAUGGUUGGCACAGAGAUGAACCAGGCACAAGAGUUGAGCAGUGGUGUGUGCUCAGACCCUGAUGGAAAAGGUUUUGGGGGAUGCAGCGGCAGUAGAAAAAAGGCUACAGAAGAAGCUAGUGGCUUCAGAACAAGGCUCUGCAAGCAGUUGUUAAUGAGAAUGAGUAGCUGCAGGAAGAGAAGGAUGCCUCUGAGUUCUGGUGAGCGAGCUGGCUGGGGAGCUGGAGAUGCCGCGCGCCCAGGCUGUAUAAGUGCACAGCCGGUGACAGCGACGAGAUGGUGAGGGAUGAAUACUGGACAAGAGUAGAACUUGCCCCCGGGUUGGGCUGGAUUUUAAGGAGGAGGGUAUUUCACAGGGUGGCUUGGCCUGUGGCUGCAAAGCCUGGAACUAGGCCAAAUUGAUGACCAAGUGAGCCCCACCCGAGAGGAAACAAGGGAAAAAAGCAGCAAAAGUACAGAAGCAGCCCUAGCUGUUCAGUAUACGGCCUUGGGCCAAAACCUGGAGUCCAGGGUAGGACUGGGUUCUCCCACCAUCCCUAAGGAAGGGGACAUAGAAGACCAUAGAAACCCAAGAAGGGCAGAUCAAGCUGAAAUCAGGCUGAGGAAGAGCUCCCCACGAGGGUGGAAGGCCUUGUUUCUGUUCAAGACGUUUUUGGACUUUGUUUGGAAGGAGCGUGACCCGGGUAGGAGUGGACUAAAGGACAGUCACCUGGCUGGAGGGCUGAGUUCCCAGCCAACAAACUGCAAGAGUGACUAUCAACGGGGUGUGAGACGAGGCCUGGCCAGGAUCUAGCGGAGAUGUCUAGUGAACUGCCCAUGGACUCUGUGCCCAGCACCACUCCAAAAUUAUUCGCUACCUUCAAAGAAACAGGGCACUGCUCAGCCUGUUAGUUUCUGUCCCAGCCUCUUACACAGAUGUAUGCUGCAGCCAGCCCAGCUCAGAAGGCAGUGCGGACAGAUGAUCUCAUCCCGUCAAACCAAGCAAUACGGGUCCCAUUGAGGCUUAGAUGGAAGAUCCCAUUCAUCUCCUGGAGAGGAUGUGUCCGGGAUCCUGGAGACUGUUUCCUGCAGGAGGUUUGAGCGGUAAAUGUUGAUUUCACUUUGCACACACAAACUGAUGAAAAAACGUUUCCAUUGAUAAGAACUGAAAUUGACAAAUAGGAACAGUAAGAAAAAUGCUGCUUGAGAACUUACUAGAGUGUAAUUUAAGGAUAUUUACUUCACAUGUUUUGACAUGAGAUGUUGACAAUUUGUGUUUUAACAGUUACACUUUUUAACUUUUUGAAUUUUUGUGUCUACUGUCCUAAAAUAAUUGUCUGACUAAAAUAUUGUCUGACCCCCCCCCAAUU